AACACAACCACAGUUAGAAACACAACCCAAAGCAAACAUAUUCAUUUUGUCAACGAGAUCAGGUAGUCUAGGAUUAAAUCUACAAUCUGCUGACACAGUCAUAAUUUUCGAUAGUGAUUUUAAUCCACAUCAAGAUAUACAAGCUAUGUGUAGAUGCCAUAGAUUAGGUCAAAAUAACGUAGUAAAAGUUUUUCGGUUUAUAACCUUAUCGGGUGUUGAAAAUUUUAUUUUUAAGAGAGCACAAGAAAAAUUAAGUAUGAACGAUAAAGUAAUUCAAGCAGGAUUAUUCAACAAAAUGCAUAACGAUGAAGAUAGACAAAACAAAUUAAAAUAUAUUUUACAAAAAAAACAAAAUAUGGAUAAUUAUGUAACUACUGAACCAACAAAUCCAAUAUCUGUAAAUCAUUUUAUGAGUAGAAGUGAUAAAGAAUUAGAGUAUUUUAUGAAUUAUGAUAAAAAAUAUUUUGGAGAAACAUAUUUUACAAUCUUAAACAAUAUGUAUAUAGCUAAUCCGAAAUGUGAACAAUUUACUUAUAUGAGUGAAGAUGAGGAGGAUAGUGUAAGUGAUGAUGGGAAAGUAGAAAAAGGUGAGAAUAUAUAUAACAAAAAAAAAAGUGAGCAAAAUAAACAUAUAAAUAGUGAAAAUAUAAACAAUAACAAUAUUAAUACAACCAUCAACCGAAACAAACGAAAAUAUAAUAAUUUGGUACAAACAACGGAACAAAACAAUGAUGGUGGUGUUGGUGAUGGUGUUGGUGUUGGUGUUGGUGGUGGUGUUGGUGGUGGUGUUGGUGAUGGUGUUGGUGGUGGUGAUGGUGGUGGUGUUGGUGGUGGUGAUGAUGACCUAGGUAAUGAUAAAAAAAAAAAAAAAAAAAAAAAAAAAAAAUAAACACACACUGCUUAUAGAUGUAUACGCAAACAAACUCAGCUUAUGUGUUACAAAUUUCUUCUUUUUAUAACGAUGUCUAUUUGGAAAGGAUGAUGAACUAAUUCGUUAAUUAUUUCGUUUUCAGAGUCCUAAAAAAAAUAACAAAAAAAGAAAGUAUAUAUAUAGUACCCAUGAUAUAUAUGUGCGCAUAAAAAAAUAUAUAAUCAAUUUGUCAUUUUUUUUUUUGUCAUU
rnacentral:lncRNA from 1 species